ensembl:lncRNA
UUUGCAGGUUGCAGCCCUGGGAAGAGGGAUCAAGCGGUUUCCAGUUUCCUUCAGCAGCUCGAGUUUUCUUCCUAAUGGUUCCCGGCUGCUUGGCAUCUCGGUCUCAGGAGUUCCUGUCUUUGUGAGACGUGCUGACAGUUACCAAGAGUCAGGGCAGAACUUUCCUUGGUAGAAGUCCAACUUCCCUGAGAGCUGGCAAGUUCAGACAUUCCACACAGAGAGCGCGCCUUCCCAAGAAGACUCCUGGCCUCUGACCCCAUGGCACACACAGCUCUGGAGGGAGCUGGGUCUUGUGCGGUGUUUCCUCUUUCUGUGGGAGCCCACAUUUCUCUCCCAUUGCACAGAAGGCCUUGGGGGUGCUUGCCACCAUCAAUGAGAUCUUGAUGGGAACACACUGUAUCGUUCUGGCCCUUGAAAGGGAAUGAGCCAGGGAUGAAGGUGACAAAUGACUUGUCAGCUGGAGCAGUGAAAACACCCGGCGCACUGGCCACUUUGGAUGGGCAUUGUGAAAAUAGAAACCCAAAAUAUUGUGCAAUGAGAAAAUACAAGCAUGAAGCUGAAGCAGGAAGUUAAAGACAAUGAAAAUACCAGCUCUAGCCCCAUCCCUGGGAAAACAAGCAACAAGCAUAUCAACCACCACUGAAAAGCUUUAGAGUAUACCCAAGAGAAAUGUUUGCUUAUGGGCAAAGCCCAGACUCAUCAGAACCAUACAUCAGGCCUUUUGUGAUUUGGCCCCACCUGCUCAUUUCUCAUGAUUAAGCCCUCCCUCCUCACUCCUUCCUUCCCAAGUAUCUGGUGCAACAACCAAACCAAACCAUUAUCCUAAAAACCCGAUGUGUGCUUUCAAGCUUCCAUGAAGUUGUGACUUCUCUUCCAAAGGCUCCUUCUCCCUAUUUCUAUCUGGUGAACACCUCUCACUCUUCAAAUGACAUCUUCACCCUGCAUCUUUUCAUAAACACCAUCGCCUUGACCCUCAAAUAUUUCAAUGAAAAGACUUCCAAGGCAACAAGGAAUGUGAUUCAGUGUCCUAAGGAGUUGGAUGUCCUGGCUGGAGGGACAUUAGACAUCUCAUGGUUGAAUUUUCCUAUUGUUCAGAAAUCCUGUCAAUAAAGACCCUUGGCACUAAACAGAAGGUGGAAAAUUAAAGAAGCGCUGUAUUUUCACAACACCUGGCCUAGAUUUAUGGCACUGAGCAUGCCCCCUCCCUUCCUGGAUCUUCGUGUCCUGUUCUGCAAGAUGGCAGCCUGGGACUCCCUGAAGUCUCCUUUGAGACCCCUCACCUCUGGCAUCUUGGGAAUCAAACAUUUUACACCAAGAAUUUAGCACCCUUUACUUUCUCCCCGAUUUCCUUUCCUCCCCAUACAUGGGCUUUAGUAAUAGAAUCAUAGGUUUGGUUACCAGGUUAGAAGUAUGAUUAGUUUUUGCCUUAUAUGUGUUAUUUUUAGAUAACUUUUUCCUUUUACAGUUGCUUUGUCUUAUAGCCAUAUUUAUAACCUUUCAACUGAGCUCUAUGUUUGCUACAUUUCAGUGGUUCGCACUGGUCCUUUUAUAGACCUCGAUGUCUUCAUUCUUGGGUUCUUAUUUUUCUGUUGGUCUGUCUGUAUCUUCAAAAAAUAUUUUGAAAAGUACAUAUUGGGAUGCCUGGGUGGCUCAGGGGUUGAGCGUCUGCCUUUUGCUCAGGGCGUGAUCCCGGGGUCCUGGGGUUGAGUCCCACAUCGGGCUCCCUGCAUGGAGCCUGCUUCUCCCUCUGCAUAUGUCUCUGCCUCUCUCUGUGUGUGUCUCUUAUGAAUAAAUAAAUAAAAUCUUUUUAAAAAGUA